rnacentral:rRNA from 1 species
AACGAACGCUGGCGGCAUGCCUAACACAUGCAAGUCGAACGAGACCUUCGGGUCUAGUGGCGCACGGGUGCGUAACGCGUGGGAACCUGCCCUUAGGUUCGGAAUAACUCCCCGAAAGGGGUGCUAAUACCGGAUAAUGUCUUCGGACCAAAGAUUUAUCGCCUUUGGAUGGGCCCGCGUUGGAUUAGCUAGUUGGUAGUGUAAAAGCCUACCAAGGCGACGAUCCAUAGCUGGUCUGAGAGGAUGAUCAGCUACACUGGGACUGAGACACGGACCAGAAUGCGACGGAGGGGAGGAGAGGAGAAUAUAGGACGAGGGGCGAAGGUCUGAUCCAGCAAUGCCGGGUGAGUGAUGAAGGCCGUAGGGUUGUAAAGCUGUUUUAGACGGGAUGAUAAUGACAGUACCGGGUGAAUAAGCACCGGCUAACUCCGUG